UUUCCGUAGGUGAACCUGCGGAAGGAUCAUUAAAAAAUAAUCCUCAUGGAUUAUAAAUCCAUACCCACCUUUUGUGCACUGUAACUUGCCCAUUGUUUUCCUUCCCGGAUUUAUUUCUGUCAGAGAGGCUCUUCGGAGUUUUUCAUGCCGGGGAUGCCGGGAAGGAGAAUGAUAUAUCACACACGUUUUUUUAUCAAGUCUGAAGUAUAACUAUGCGAAAGCAGAAAUUACUAAAACAACUUUCAACAACGGAUCUCUUGGCUCCC
rnacentral:misc_RNA from 1 species